GACGAACGCUGGCGGCGUGCUUAACACAUGCAAGUCGAACGGAAAGGCCUGCAGCUUGCCGCGGGUACUCGAGUGGCGAACGGGUGAGUAACACGUGGGUGAUCUGCCUUGCACUUCGGGAUAAGCUUGGGAAACUGGGUCUAAUACCGGAUAGGACAGCUGUUUAGCGUCAGUUGUGGAAAGUUUUUUCGGUGCAAGAUGAGCUCGCGGCCUAUCAGCUUGUUGGUGGGGUAAUGGCCUACCAAGGCGUCGACGGGUAGCCGGCCUGAGAGGGUGUACGGCCACAUUGGGACUGAGAUACGGCCCAGACUCCUACGGGAGGCAGCAGUGGGGAAUAUUGCACAAUGGGCGGAAGCCUGAUGCAGCGACGCCGCGUGGGGGAUGAAGGCCUUCGGGUUGUAAACUCCUUUCGACAGGGACGAAGCGUAAGUGACGGUACCUGUAUAAGAAGCACCGGCUAACUACGUGCCAGCAGCCGCGGUAAUACGUAGGGUGCGAGCGUUGUCCGGAAUUACUGGGCGUAAAGAGCUCGUAGGUGGUUUGUCGCGUCGUCUGUGAAAUUCCGGGGCUUAACUCCGGGCGUGCAGGCGAUACGGGCUGACUUGAGUGCUGUAGGGGAGACUGGAAUUCCUGGUGUAGCGGUGAAAUGCGCAGAUAUCAGGAGGAACACCGAUGGCGAAGGCAGGUCUCUGGGCAGUAACUGACGCUGAGGAGCGAAAGCAUGGGUAGCGAACAGG
rnacentral:rRNA from 1 species